UGGCGCACGGGUGCGUAACGCGUAACCAACCUACCCGAAUCUGGGGGAUAGCCCGCCGAAAGGCGGAUUAAUACCGCAUAAAACUGCAGUCUGGCAUCAGGUAACAGUUAAAGAUUUAUUGGAUUCGGAUGGGGUUGCGUGCCAUUAGCUAGUUGGCGGGGUAACGGCCCACCAAGGCGACGAUGGCUAGGGGAGCUGAGAGGCUGGUCCCCCACACGGGCACUGAGAUACGGGCCCGACUCCUACGGGAGGCAGCAGUAGGGAAUAUUGGGCAAUGGGCGAGAGCCUGACCCAGCCAUGCCGCGUGCAGGAUGAAGGCUUUCUGAGUCGUAAACUGCUUUUGCCAGGGAAGAAUAAGGGGGAUGCGUCCUCCGACGACGGUACCUGGUGAAUAAGCACCGGCUAACUCCGUGCCAGCAGCCGCGGUAAUACGGAGGGUGCAAGCGUUGUCCGGAUUUAUUGGGUUUAAAGGGUGCGUAGGCGGCCGAUUAAGUCUGGGGUGAAAGCCCGUUGCUCAACAACGGAACUGCCCUGGAAAC
rnacentral:rRNA from 1 species